UACAGAGGGUGCGAGCGUUAAUCGGAAUUACUGGGCGUAAAGGGUGCGUAGGCGGCUAUGUAAGUUGGAUGUGAAAUCCCCGGGCUUAACCUGGGACGUGCAUACAAGACUGUAUAGCUAGAGUAGAGUAGAGGAAAGCGGAAUUUCCGGUGUAGCGGUGAAAUGCGUAGAUAUCGGAAGGAACAUCAAUGGCGAAGGCAGCUUUCUGGACUCAUACUGACGCUGAGGCACGAAAGCAUGGGGAGCAAACAGG
rnacentral:misc_RNA from 1 species